AUGGAGGGGGUGGUCAGCGACGUGGCAUCAGCGGUUCGCGAGCUGGUGGUCUCAGAGAAGGGAGCAGUGGAUAAGAAGGCGGUUGGCAGAGGUACAUCCGCUCAUGAUUCUGCUACUGCCACUAUGGUGGUACCGGUGGCCACUCAAGGGGCCCUGUCGCUUGGCCAGGAGGGCCAGGCCAUGGGGCGAGGCGAUCCCGCCCUCAACAUCUCGAGCUCUGGCCAGGAGGGCCAGGAUUUGUUGGCUUCUGCAUCCGCACUACAGGAGGGAUUACUCGGCCAGGCAGGCCAAGUGAUCUCUCCUUUCAACUUUGGCCAGAAGGGCCAACGAACACUGCUACGGGCUGCGGCGAGUGGGACUCCAGGGUGCUAUCCACCUACGGGGCCGGGGGGCAGUAUCUUCUUCAACAUUGCUGCCCCGAAGCCCCUCUUGAUCCCUAUUGAAGCUCGACAGGCCUUGGUCCCCAGCCAGGAAGGCUGGGGAGGCUGGCUGGACAAUGAGGCGACCUCGGCGAACAUGGCCGGGGCUGUUUUUUCACCAAGGUAUGAUGGUCUGCAAAGGAGGAUGGGUGAGGUGUUGGGAAAGAAAGAGGAGAAUACGGCUAUGAUGCUGACUGGUAACCAACCUGCUGAAAUUUUCUCUUCAUCAUCUGCUUUUGCAUCUCACUUUAAAUUUACUGCUGGAGUUGGUGAGGGGAAGAGUAUGCAUGGGAAGCAAGUGAAACAUGAUAAGAAAAAGUGGUUGCAUGUGAACAGGGAGAGAGUACAGGGCACAGAUAAGUUAGUGCAAGGGGAUAGCAGUGCAAAGGGGGCAAGUAAAAGAAAAGGGCUCUAUGAGAUGCAGGCCACGGGCAGCGAUCUAGUUUUUUCUUUUGAGACUAUGAGCAAUGAUAGUGUAGAAUUUAUGUUGUACAAUGAUCUAAACAUCUCAUGUAAGCGUGCGUGUGUGGGUCGCGUAGACACUAUUAGAGGGUCUGAUGGGUCUGUUAAGCAUGUGGCCAAGGAGCUGGAAGGCAGAGAGGAGGACUACCUGGUCAAGAGGAGAGAAUCUGUUGGAGAUGGGAAGGAAGAAAACAUUACAUCGGCGGCCUCCGAGGCGGAGGACCGCCGGGAACCAUGA
rnacentral:rRNA from 1 species